GAGAGAGCACCGUCCCGCCCGGUCCCGCCCAGUCCCACCCGGUGCGCGGGUGCGGCGCGGCCGGUCCGCCGUUACCUCGUGCGAGACGCACUCGAGUGAGCGGAGCUCGCUGCAGUAGCGGCAGAAGUACAGCUGCGGCAGCGGCGCCCGCAGCUCCUUCUCGCCGCGCACCAGUCUCACCUCCACUAAGACAGGAUCCUGACAAGAAUGAACAUUCCUGUGCCGUGGGAUCAGCAGGAAAGCACGAGGUCUGCAGAUGCUCUGCUGUGUGCAGGCAGAAUAAACACAUCAGCAGACUUUAAGAGAUCUGAAGCUCGGUGUCUACGCUACAACUGCUUCAUUCUCUGCUGAGGGCAGAGCUGGCAUCAGCAAACCCCUCCCAGUGUGCUGCUGGAGAGCCCAAACAAGGCAGAGCCAGCCUGGCCUGUGGCAUGAGCCCCCCACCCUCGCCCCGGGAUCCAUCCCCACACAGCGCCUGCACUCAGUCCCUGCCCUCUGCUCCACAGGAAAGCCCUGUCCAUGAGGAUGUGCCACUGCUCAGAUAAAAACCUCACGGUUUUAUCCGCCUGCAGCAGCUGGAGGGGCAGGGAGGAGGCUGCCUGCGCUCUGCUCCCUGCAGAGCUGCGUGUCCAGGAGGGCCUGGAGCACAGGGGUGUCUUGGAAGGGUGAAAAGUGCAUAUUACAUGGCUCUACACAGAUAUUUACUAUAUGUAUUUUGUUGUAUUGAUUAGUAGUGCUGUAUUAACAUUUUAAUAGUAUGAUAAAUGUAGUUUUAUAGUUAAAAGGUAACUUUUGUAGUUAAAAUAGGAACUGUGUAAGUGGGAUUUUUUUUAAGAAAGGAAUGAGGUACUCGCACCAGAUAGCAGCCACAGGAUACCUAAAUCUUUCAGAGAAAAAGAAUUGAUUGUUCUCUUAUCAGAAGAAACUGACUUCUUCCUUCCUCGCUCAGGAUCGAAGAUGCCGUUAGGAUUAGGAGGAAGAAAAUCAUGAUGACCAGACCAAAUCCUUUGUUUGAAUGGAAUUUAUGCAUCAUGUAUGGGAUGUAUGAAUAUUGAACAGGCUAUUGCUUUUAAGGGUUAAUCCUUUGUUAGUGGAUGUCCUUCUUCGGGCUUGUGCUGCCCAGAAAAAGGUACCCAGACGUCCGUAACUCUUUGUUUCUGUUGUCUCAUAUUGUCCUAAUUCAAAUUGUCCAAAUUAUUAUUACUCUAAUUGUAUUACUAUUUUUAUAACCAUUUUAUUACUAUUAAACUUGUAAAAUUUUAAAAACAA